rnacentral:rRNA from 1 species
CGUCAAGUCCGCAUGGCCCUUACGGCUGGGGCGACACACACGCUACAAUGCCGCCGGCAAUGCGCAGCGCGUCGGCAACGACAAGCCAAUCGCCAAGCGGCGGCCCAGUGCAGAUCGGGGGCUGCAACUCGCCCCCGUGAAGGCGGAGUCGCUAGUAAUCGCAGAUCAGCAACGCUGCGGUGAAUACGUUCCCGGGCCUU